UCCCUGGUGGACUAGUGGUUAGGCCACAGCCCUCUCACAGCUGUGGCCUGGGUUCAAUACCUGGCCAGGAAA